UGGUGCACUCUUAUGUUAUUAGC
rnacentral:siRNA from 1 species